GACAGACAAGGGGACAGCCCUUGGGGUGAGGAGGCAGGGACUCCACCCUGCUGAGUAUCUGCCUGCCCGUGCGUCUGGAAUCCAGGGGGAAGACCAGAGUCCCAGGCACUCAGCAUCCCCGACUGAACAAGGACGAGGACAGGGGCUCCGGUCACACACAGUGCUCCCCAGACACACACACCAUCACGACAGGAGCAAAGGAGGAGCGAAAAGGUCAGCCUUCCAGGACACCACAGCCUCCAGGGAUCAUCUCACUGAACACUUUGCUUCUUCCCUCAGGGGCUCAUCUCACUCCCAACAAGGCCUCGAGCACGGGCCGAGCCCCGCACAGCUCUGACCAUCGAGGCUGGCGGAGCACACGCAGGCCACGUCAGCUGGAGGAAAAACUUUCUUUCUCAGAACAUUCUAAAGGCAGCCUGUCAGAGGCUACAGCAGUAGAUCCAGCUUCCAAUUGUCUAUCUUGCUACUGUUUUGGCUGAGAAUCUCAGCCCGAACCCCGAGAUGCCCUCGUUCAGCAGCCAGCAGCCGAUUUCCACUGUUCAGUCCAUCUCCUCUCUAUGACACACUCAUGCACACAUACCUGCCUCCUCCAGUGCCAUCACCUUGAAAUCACAACCAAACAAGGCUUAUGUCUUUUAUGGCAGAAAACUACCAACUGGCAGAAGAUGCUGACUGUCUUCCUCAAGGUGGCUCAUGAGCCGCCAGUUAGAAGUUCUGGUUCUUUCUGCAAAUGACCCACCUCACUGAUCAGAAAGCGCAGCUCUGGCCCGAUGCGCUCCCUGCCCUGUUGUCCACUGGCGCUGAGGCUGAAGUCCUGGGACGGUUUGCAGGUCCCACUCACACCCGCCACCUCGGUGGGGAAAUGACGGCUCCUUCACGAUGCCCUCUGACAGCCCUGACUCCCCUGGGCCCAGCCCCGUGUGACUCUGACCCCCGUCCCACCAGCCCCCCAGGUGUAUCCAGGACAGCACCGUGAGCCUGCACCCACUGGCCUCCUGGCCCGACUCGCGCUGCUUCCCGCAGUCCACACGCACAGGACUGAGCCCUCACCGCCUGCUGGAUAACAAGCCUGGCCCACGGGGGCAAGGAACUGCCUGCGAGACAGGGAACUGUGGGACGACCUAAGUAGCCAACAGGAGGAAACAGACGUGUACAUGGGGACGUGCGGUUGGGGGGCAGUGGUGUAGAAAGGCUGUCAGACUCUCCUGCAGAAACAAGCAGGGUAGAAAGCCCAAAGAGAGGGCUGCCCGGGCAGGGUUAAGAUUCUGUGCUUCCGCUGCAGGCGGCAUGGUUCUAUCCCUGAUCAGGGAAGUUUGCAUGCUGGGUGGUAUGGCCAAAAAGAUAAAAAACUCAAUGGCAUAAGCAUAUCCAUAGAAAACACUGGGAAAUGACUAAAAUGUUACUAGGUUAUCUCUGGGCAGUAGGACUAUAGGCAACCUUUACUUUUGUCUCUUUGCCUGUAUCUGCCCAGGAAAACACAGAUUAUAAACUAAACAUAGUAAAAUCUUAUCACUUGA